UCCACGAAAGGGCUCCAAAAACCCAAUCUCAAUCCUCUUCAUCUCCACCUCUUCCGACUGGCCACACUUCUCAUCGACAACUCGUCCUAGCUUCCCCCAAAUGCCUCUUUUCAUUUUUAUCACAUUUUGUUUUUACGUUCACGCCCCCCACCCUCCAUUCGUGCAUCUUGAGUUUUGGGAGAUCGGCUUGCGGAAGACGCACUGUUUGAACGGUGUUUAAUUGGCAAGUGCUUGAACGAGCUCGCAGUCGCUUUCACUUCUUGAGAUAUCUUGACGUAGAGGAGAUUGUGGCCGCGACUACUAUUCCGAUAACUUAUUGAUUGAGAACCCGUCAUACCACCCGCUUCCAGUGAUAGAGAUGCCAUCUCUUGUCUUGGAUUAUUUGAUCCAGCCACCGCCUCAAUCCCAUUUCUGAUGAUAGGAGGGAUGAUCCUUUGGGUCUCCUAUCAAAUUAAUGGACCUACGAGAGGGUUGGUUUAUGAAGUUACUGUUGAUUAUUCGUAACUAUGUUUCCUAUGCAAUGGUUCAUCAUGAAGUGCUAAGAAUUCAAGAAAACAAAGUGGAGUCGUUGACUUGGGAGGAUUGGGAAGUUUUUAAAGGAUUACCAGUUUCAACUUGAAGUGGCUAGUAAUGAAUGAAUGUUUCAUCGAUACUUUUUGUGCAAAGAAAGUUGAUUUGACUCUCAAGAUAAAACAUGAAAAGUUGAUACAGUACGCACUUGCCUUCGUAGUUUUUGCUUGAUAAUUGAGAAACAACUUCAAUUGCUGUAGAAGUUAGGUUGAACUCAACCAAACGUGCCAUUUGUAGUUUCCAAGGUUGCGAGUCGUUUUUUUAAGUAAGAUUAAUUGUUAUGACUGAAAAUUUGGUUUCGAGCUAGUUCUUCCUGCUCCACUGUUGCCAAAUGUGGGGAUGAUGAAGAGAAUCAAGUGGUUCCAAUGUCGCCACCACCUCCAGUUUCGAGCUAGUUCUUCCUGCUCUCCAUUGUUUCUUCUUCUUUGAAUGAUUUUAACUAGAUCUUAAGAAAUCUGAGGUUUUGCCCGAAUCCAUUGGAGCAGCGAAACCAUAUUUGUGGCAAUUCAUUGAUGUAUAGGCAUUUUUGUAGGUUUGGUAGGAAAAUUUCCGGUUUAAAUGUACUUAUUUAAAUAGCUAGCUUGUUCGUAACAAACCAUAUAUGUAUCAACACUUAAAGUGAUAUUAUAAAGUGUAUGUUUCUUUA